AGGGAGAGUAGGGUGGUCUGGGCGGUGCGAUCCUGGGCACCGGGAGGAAAGAGACAGCUGGGGUCUAGCGCUGGAUGAGGAGAGGAGGGAGGGCCGGCGACCGGAAUCGGAAUCCGGGCUUCGGGCAUCUGUGUGCUUAGCUGAAGGGUACUAUAGUUGAACUAACGAACUAACAAAAAGCUUACCAAUGCGAGCUCUCAUUCACGCUCCCCCGCUGGGCCACUGCGUUUUAACACGUUUUUCAUGCUUCGUGCAGACGGGCUUUCCCAGAGACUGUAGGACAAAGUGAACCCAAGUGCUGGGACUCUGCUUCUUUCCCUGCUUCGUUCCUUUCUGCAGCUCACAGAAAUGUGUUUGCAGGGCCUCCUAAUGCUAUCAUCUUCCCAGGAGCUGGGAACACAGUAGUGAACAGGAAGAAAGGCCUUGGCUCUUUCUAGUAGGGAAGGUGAGAGAUUUAACACGCAGUUUUAAUACUAGCACUAAGUAGGCCCUCAGUAAAUGUUUGUCUAGUGAAACCAGAAGUGUAUUUCUGUACAUAAUAUGUACAUGUAUAUGGUUCUAACUUUACAACCAAGGUCUAUUUAAAAUUAGGGAGGAUAGAAAAAUCUUUAGGGUGCGGUAUUGGUAAGUGACCCAGGCUGGAUGGCAGAAGGCUUGCAUCUUCUUCCAGCGAUGCCAAUAACUAGUUCAGUAACUCUCUAGUUUUUUCUCUCAAAAACAAAUUUGCUGUUCUGCUGUAUUUUGUCCUUGCAGGCUUUGGGGUCUGACUUUAUUUGUAUUAUUUAUUUUCAUAUACAUGUAUCACAUCUAGGGGGAAGAAAAGUGCUAUUCUUUGUCCUAGUUUGCAGGCUGUUUUGGCCAAUGGACUUUAGUGGGAUUUGCAUGAAGAUAUUUUUUGUUUCUUCUUCAUUGGAAACAUUUCCUUACACUUACAAAACAUUUCAUUCGAACUUUAGAAAUUUAGAAAAUAUAGUACAAGAAAGGUUUAAAAAUCCAUAAUGCUACCACUUGGAAUGAACUAUUUUUACCAUGUUAGUAUAUGUGUCUAAUAUUUUACGCAUUUUUGUAUAGGUUAGACAAUACUGAAAAUAAAGUUUUCUUUUUGUUCAUUUACCAUUGUAUCAUUUCAAUUUCACAAAUGUUAGUAUAGCUUCUUUAUAAGCAUAAUUUUAAGUGGCUGGUUAAUAUUCCAGUUAUGGCUAUAUUAUAUUUUGCAUAAUUAUUUCCAUGUUCUUUGACUUUUUGGUCAAUUCCAUUAAAAGCAUAUCUUUGCGUCCAAAGCUUUUUCCAUAUAAGACUGUUCAGAGGCUGGAUUUGUGUGCUCCACAAAGGUCAUGCCACUGAGCAACUCAUUCAGUCCUUAUUUGUUUAGAAGAAUAUUUACCUAGUGCUUAUUAUGAUACCACCUUUAAGAACCUUAAUUUAAGAAGGAAAGACAGACAAGUAAAUUGGCAAUGUUAAUAUGGUAUAAUAAGUUUGUUUCAGAGGUAGGUUUUAUUUUAUUUGGCAGCACUCAGGGAAGGAGGGAGGAGAUAGAAAAGGUUUCUUAAAGGAGAUACAUCUGGGCAGACUCUGAAGGAGAGGUAGUGGUUGGUUGGCCCAGUGAAGAACAAAGGGGGGCAUGCUGGAUGGUGGAGACAGCAUAUGCAAAGGCUCAGUAUGGGAACUGCAAGUAGUUGAUCAGUGUGAAAGAUGUGUGUAGAGAGAAGCAAGAAGAGAGACUGAAGCAGUAAGUAGGGUUUUUUGGGUCAUGAAAAGUCUUGUGUACCAACUGAAGAGUUGGACUUUGACCCAGUGACAAUAGGAAACCAUCUAUCAGCUCUUUGCUUGUGUUAGGUAAACUUACCUGAAUCUGUCAGAAGCAACAUAACUUUUCUACUUAACUAUACGAAGAAGGGUCUAAAUGGCCUAUGCAAAAAUUCUCUAAAGAAAUGCAUAAUGUGUAGCUCUAAAAAGAAAUAUAAAAUGGCAGACAGCAUGAUAUUGUGUCUGAGUGUGGUCUUUGAAGUCAGACCAAAGUUCCAUUAACUACAGGCAUAGGAAUGGGAGUUAGAAGCUAAAAUAGGGUAAUAAAUCAGAAGAGAAAGAAGUUCAAUAGCAUUUACUGUCUACCCAUUUGUAAGUGCUUGCUAUUCAGUGAUUAGCUGUAAGGGAAGGCAUAGUAUCCUCUGGAGUAUUAAAAGCAUACCUGGCUCCGUUAACAGUUGUGAAGAAGUCCAUAGCCCAUAAUCCCAGCCCCUGGUGAAAUGAGUUCCUGGUUUAGAUGGUGAAAAGUGUAUCUGGGCACCUGAAGGCUCCACUCACGGCUGAGACAUGGCCCCGGCCUUGUUCUACUAUGUCCUUACAUCCUAAGAGCAGAUUACAAAUUGAAGCCAUCAUCUCCCAGCACUUUGGAGGCUACAGAGGACUUGGACAAGGUUGAUAACUUCUACAAAGCAAGCUGGGUAAAUUCCUAGGUUUUCAGGCCACACCAAAGGGUUUCCAGGGGUUUACAUCUUUAUUAAUCUUUUGCCAGAUUGCCUCACUUGCUCUCUGGGGUAAGCUGAAUGUGCGUUCAAGAAAGGAUAUGGAAUUGCCUCCAUAAACGGACUUUAGAAUCUUCUUUCCUUGCAGCAUGUCUAGACUGUAUUUCUUUUUAUUUAUACUAUCCUCAUAGAAUGUUCUAGACUUAAUUUUUUAGCUCUUUGACUCUUUGGCUCCAGCUUUCACAUUUAUUUCCAUGUCUUGGUUAUGUCUUCUCACUUUUAGGAUAACAUGAUAAAAGAUAUAUGAUUCAGUUAAAUCCAAGCUUAGCAGUUUUAAAAUGUGUAAUUUUUUGGUGUGUAUGUGUAUUAGUGUGCAUGUCUUAUGAGGAAGGAGAGAGACUUUCCACAAGCUUUCUUGCUCCAUGGUUUCUUAACUAUGGGUGUUCAUCACAUGCCGAGUUGGUGAGGUGUUUGGGUUUUGAGGGUUCUAAGCCAGCCAAUAAAGUCAUAAAAUCAACUACUGUGUCAAUAUUGUGCUUCUGGGUGGUUGUAUCCUUCAACACACAUAAGACACUCAGCCAGCUAAAAGAGAUGAGCUCAGAGAUGUUAGCUCGGAGGAAAAGAAGGAUCACAUUGAGGUCAUUGAUGGGACAUCCUAGCAUCUUUCUGCUGAGGAGAUCAAAAGCUGGGAGCAUCUCAUAGACAGAUAAAAGUCGUUUGUCCCACCGACAUAGCCGUGUGAGGUUGUAUAUUAUCACUGGAACCAAUAUGGUGUAUAUUGCUAUACUGGAGAGGCUAACAAUCUGGAAAAUGGACAGUGAUGUCAGCCUGCAUGUGAUCAGAUUGGGGACAUGGGUCUCAUCACUUAGCAGCCCUGUCUUGAUGGAGCAGCUGAAUUCUUCCUGGAAGAAGACAUCCAGAUGGAAAUGACCAAGGUAUAGAAAAAGGUGGAAGAGACAACUCACUUCUCCAGCUCAUCCCAGAGCACAUAGGGGUCGGAGCUCUUCUGCCGGAUCUUCAGCAUGUGCUGCACCAGGCGGAUGGAGCGAUUAUAAGAUUUGUCCAGUUCGCUGAUGAUGAACAGCAGAUCGGAGCUGAGGGCUGGCACAGCUGCAUACUGCCACAGCAGCACCGGCAGCCAGGUAAAGAAGCAGACAUGCACACGGGGAGACUGCCCAGGGCACUGGAUCUACAGGCCAAGGAGUGGGAACCUGGCAGACCUUUCCCUUGCAGCCUUCAGAGGAGCCAAUACUGAUGACACCUCGAUCUUGGACUUCCGGUCUCCAGAACCCUGAGACGAUAAUUUUGAUUGUUGAAGCCACCCAGUUGGUGGUGCUUGGUUUCAGCAGCUCUAGCAAAUUAACACAGGGACUUUUCUUCAGGUUUCCUCAUCAUACUUACCACACCUAGCAGGGUUGGGCCAACUAUUUUGCCUACAGUAAAAUCUCUACUUGU